GACGAACGCUGGCGGCGUGCUUAACACAUGCAAGUCGAGCGAUGAAGUUCCUUCGGGAAUGGAUUAGCGGCGGACGGGUGAGUAACACGUGGGUAACCUGCCUCAUAGAGGGGAAUAGCCUUCCGAAAGGAAGAUUAAUACCGCAUAAGAUUGUAGUACCGCAUGGUAUAGCAAUUAAAGGAGUAAUCCGCUAUGAGAUGGACCCGCGUCGCAUUAGCUAGUUGGUGAGGUAACGGCUCACCAAGGCGACGAUGCGUAGCCGACCUGAGAGGGUGAUCGGCCACAUUGGGACUGAGACACGGCCCAGACUCCAACGGGAGGCAGCAGUGGGGAAUAUUGCACAAUGGGGGAAACCCUGAUGCAGCAACGCCGCGUGAGUGAUGACGGUCUUCGGAUUGUAAAGCUCUGUCUUCAGGGACGAUAAUGACGGUACCUGAGGAGGAAGCCACGGCUAACUACGUGCCAGCCGCCGCCGUAAAAC
rnacentral:rRNA from 1 species